AGAGCUUGAAACUGUUAGUUACUUACAAACCAGCCGUUAAUUGAUCUUUCUGACUUGAAGGUCCAGGCAAAAAGAAGAUGGAAAGUUGUGGGAGAGCUGUGCAUGGAGCAAAAGGCUUCAAAUCCUGGACAGACCUCAUGGGCAGCUGGCAGGUUUCUGUAGUUCCUGCAGCAGGAGAGGGCAAUCUGGAGGACCUUAACAGCUGCAGAAGGAAGAUGAUGUUGAGUGCAGAUAUUCCAAAACCUGGACAGAAGCUGUGCCCAGUGGGUUUUUGCAGAGUGCCUGGCCUUAUGAGCAUUUGGACCUAAAGAAGGCUUCUUAUCAGAGUCUGGUAGCUUAAGCAGAGAACAAAGUAACCAAAGAACCCCCAAAGAUGAUCAAGGAGACAUUUUCUAAGUGCUGUACCAACACAGAGGAAUGCUGAGCAACUUCCGUAUUACUUUGGAGCUCCAGAGACACAAGUGGUGAGGAAGAGAAGAAGCACUUGUGUCCUAACUUCUUCAGGAGCUUAAAAAGACCUUCCUCUUGCUUCAGAGAUAAGCUAUGCUAAUUGGACUCAAAGGAAAUACUUAGUUUAUAAUAGCAAAUGAAGAAUUCAUUAAAUUCUAGCAAGGAAAAAAGUCAAGCAAUGGAACUGGACAUUAUUUUUUGAACACGUCCUCCCUUUCAAGGCUUUCAUCUGGCAGAUUGUGGUUCAUGUGCUGAACAGCAACAGCGAUUGUUGAGGUCGAAGUCCUGCACCUCUCUCACAUUUCCAGAGUACCUGGCAGGUUUAUUACAUGCAAGAUAGCUGCUGUGGGACCUGAUCAUUGACACAGCAAGGAUCUCUGAAAGAAGUACCAGAUGUGCAGAUAGCAAGAUGUUACUGUGAAGAAGAAUACCCCAUUAUAGUCCAUACCAUAAGGAGCUGAUGCAGUACACACUGUGUCCUGCAAUGCACCAUUUCAACUUUCAGUGGAGUGCCAGGCAGAAGACUGUAUGAGCCUGAAAAUAAAAUUUAUAUGGAUUUAAGCUUUGAGAAGACCCAGUGCAGGAGAAGCUCAGGACUGUUCAGUUUUAUAUUUCUUCCUCUACUUUUAAAGCUCUGAUUCCAGAAAAGGUGCAGUCAAUGUCUAACACCUAAAGUCACACAUGCCAUGUCUGCAUUACUCAACUUAUGACAAGUUUAGUGUUUCUGUGGUACUGCAGAAACAGAAAGGCUGCAUUUUACCUUUUCCGUCACUUGGCUCCUUAGUUCGUGGCUGGUUUGUUGCACAGUACACAGCUUCAGAAAAAAAAAUGCACUGAGAUAAAAGAGUUUUUCAUUAAUGUUUUGUACUGUUCUGUGAAUACAAAAAGAAUGACAUACUGGAUACUUUAUUGUGCUAGCAGAAUCUGAAAUCUAAAAAUAUGAGUUAGGCCCUAGAACUCUGAAAGUAAAACAGCACUGUAAGUACAAUCAUUUAAUAUUUUUUUCUACAAUUCAUUUAUUUUUAUUUACAUUUGAAGAAAACUCAGGUGUACUUCUCAGUAUUUGUUCAAAAACAUUAGGGGAGGAUCUGUUCAUAAGCUCCAUUUGAAGCCCUACACUCAUCAUGUAGUCAGUCACUUGGCAUUGAAGCAUGAAUAUAAACUCUGCUGUGAGUGGUGUCAGAACAAAAGUAUUUACAAAUAUACAGAAGUAAAAGCAAUGUAAAUACUUCUGUAUUUCUGUUUCUAUCACUAGCUAAAAAUCUUCCUGGGACGUUCAGUGCCUGCAUGGCAGGUAGUCAG